rnacentral:rRNA from 1 species
CCUACGGGUGGCAGCAGUGAGGAAUAUUGGUCAAUGGACGAGAGUCUGAACCAGCCAAGUAGCGUGAAGGAUGACUGCCCUAUGGGUUGUAAACUUCUUUUAUAUGGGAAUAAAAUGUUCCACGUGUGGGAUUUUGUAUGUAACAUAUGAAUACGGAUCGGCUAACUCCGUGCCAGCAGCCGCGCUAAUACGGAGGAUCCGAGCGGUAUCCGGAUUUAUUGGGUUUAAAGGGAGCGUAGGUGGAUUGUUAAGUCAGUUGUGAAAGUUUGGGGUUCAACCGUAAAAUUGCAGUUGAAACUGGCAGUCUUGAGUACAGUAGAGGUGAGCGGAAUUCGUGGUGUAGCGGUGAAAUGCUUAGAUAUCACGAAGAACUCCAAUGGCGAAGGCAGUUCACUGGACUGCAACUGACACUGAGGCUCGAAAGUGUGGGUAUCAAACAGGAUUAGAUACCCGGGUAGUC